rnacentral:rRNA from 1 species
CGGACGGCUGAGUAAUGCACAGGAACGUACCUUACAGUGGGGAAUAGCCCAUCGAAAGAUGGGGUAAUACCGCAUAUGCUCGCAAGAGUAAAGCCGCAAGGCGCUGAAAGAACGGCCUGUGUCCUAUCAGGUAGUUGGCGGGGUAAAGGCCCACCAAGCCUAUGACGGGUAACUGGUCUGAGAGGAUGAUCAGUCAGAUCGGAACUGAGACACGGUCCGA